UUGUCUUUCUCAAUAGAAGAAAGUAAAGAGUAGAGAAAUUGAUAAGAAAGUUGAGUUGUUUUACCAUAAAAUGCAUUAUUUAUAUAGGGCUGGCAAAUAGUCGUUUGAUCGAGCCUAUACAACAGCUACUUUCUAACGAUCACAAAUGGACCUUAUGAUGCGUGACGCAUCCUAGGACGAGCAAAUUAAUUAUCUACGUAAUUUUCUAAUUAAUCUUGCCUAAAUUUUUUUUCCAAGUUUUCCCUCACAAAGAUUCACUUCAUAGCCUUUUAGUACAAAACCAGUAGCUAAAGAAGAAAAAGAAAGGUGAACCCAAGGCCAGGUUCUAUAACCCACUUGCUGUUGCUGGAGGCUAUUCAGGUUCUAUAACCCACUUGCUGUUGCUAGGGUGGCUGUUGUUGAUAAUUGGCGUAGCCAGCAGGAUAGCCUCCAUAGUACAUGUUCGGGUCCUGCGCCGGUGGAGCUUGCGCAUACCCGUAGUUCUCGUAACCUUGUGUAUACCCAUAGUACCCGGCACCACCGGC
rnacentral:lncRNA from 1 species